UACAGAGGGUGCGAGCGUUAAUCGGAAUUACUGGGCGUAAAGGGUGCGUAGGCGGUUAACUAAGUCAGACGUGAAAUCCCCGGGCUUAACCUGGGAACUGCGUUUGAUACUGGUUAACUAGAGUAUGGUAGAGGGAAGUGGAAUUUCCGGUGUAGCGGUGAAAUGCGUAGAUAUCGGAAGGAACAUCAGUGGCGAAGGCGACUUCCUGGACCAAUACUGACGCUGAGGCACGAAAGCGUGGGGAGCAAACAGG
rnacentral:rRNA from 1 species